rnacentral:rRNA from 1 species
GAGAAGACUUUAGAUAUGAUCCAGAGUACCACGGGACACGUGAAACCCUGUGGGAAGCAGGAGGGACCACCCUCCAAGGCUAAAUACUACCUAGUGACCGAUAGCGUAUAGUACCGUGAGGGAAAGGUGAAAAGAACCCCGGGAGGGGAGUGAAAUAGAACCUGAAACCCUGCACUUACAAGCUGUGGAAGCACAUUUCUUGUGUGACCGCGUACUUUUUGUAGCACGGGCCAACGAGUUACGGUAAGUAGCAAGGUUAAGCACUUAAGGUGCGGAGCCGUAGCGAAAGCGAGUUUUAACUGAGCGUUCAGUUACUUGACGUAGACCCGAAACCGGGCG